rnacentral:tRNA from 1 species
CCUCGCGCUGCGCGGGUCGUUCCGGCGCGCGGCCUGGGACGCGGCGGCGGACGUCGCGCGCCGGCUCGCCGCCGAGGGCCUCGGCGGCACGACGG